AUGCCCUCCCACCCGAUUCCACACCCACGGGAGACCGCCCGCCGCCGCGGAGGGCCACGCCGGCGAUCUCCCCUCAGCCCACAUGCCUCCUCUUUCCUCUCCAUUCUCCUUCUCUCUCCGCCCCUUGUUCAUCCGCGACGGCCUGGGCUCACCAUGAUCCAUGGCCCUCUCCUUCUGCCAGCAUCAGUACAUCGCGGGUCGUCCGUGGCGCUCGACCUCCUCGUUCCGCGCCGCCCAUACUGCACUACACACGCGCGCCUCCUGAUCCAUGGCCGCCUUUUGCCCAGCCGCAGGAUCGAUGUUGGGUGCCAUGACCAGCCUCUUGCGCAGCUCGUCCAUGACGUUGGGGCUUCUGUAGAGAAGAAACGAGGGAGGGAGAUGAGCAGAGAGGGGAGGAGGAUAAACAGAGGAAGGAGGGGGAGAACAAGGGAAGAAAAGAGCAGAGAGAAGGGGCGGCGCCGCUCCGGUGAGCUGCAGCUGGGGUCCUCGGUGGCUGCCUACUGCGUGGUUGUGUCGUUGAAGCUCACAUGCUGGAAUGUUUAUGCACAACUGAAGUUGGCACAUUCAGUUCUGCAUAUAUCGAACAGCCUUCAAAACUUCUGA
rnacentral:rRNA from 1 species